rnacentral:hammerhead_ribozyme from 1 species
AUUUAGCUGCUGAGUCCAGAUAUUCACCAGCUUGUGAACGUCGACUCUCAGAUGCAGGUACAUACAAUAGGACGAAACGCGCGUCCUAGAU